AGCGAACGCUGGCGGCAGGCUUAACACAUGCAAGUCGAGCGGGCGUAGCAAUACGUCAGCGGCAGACGGGUGAGUAACGCGUGGGAACGUACCUUUUGGUUCGGAACAACACAGGGAAACUUGUGCUAAUACCGAAUAAGCCCUUACGGGGAAAGAUUUAUCGCCGAAAGAUCGGCCCGCGUCUGAUUAGCUAGUUGGUGAGGUAACGGCUCACCAAGGCGACGAUCAGUAGCUGGUCUGAGAGGAUGAUCAGCCACAUUGGGACUGAGACACGGCCCAAACUCCUACGGGAGGCAGCAGUGGGGAAUAUUGGACAAUGGGGGCAACCCUGAUCCAGCCAUGCCGCGUGAGUGAUGAAGGCCCUAGGGUUGUAAAGCUCUUUUGUGCGGGAAGAUAAUGACGGUACCGCAAGAAUAAGCCCCGGCUAACUUCGUGCCAGCAGCCGCGGUAACAC
rnacentral:rRNA from 1 species